GUAUAGACCCGAAACCCGGUGAUCUAGCCAUGGGCAGGUUGAAGGUUGGGUAACACUAACUGGAGGACCGAACCGACUAAUGUUGAAAUUAGCGGAUGACUUGUGGCUGGGGUGAAAGGCCAAUCAAACCGGGAGAUAGCUGGUUCUCCCCGAAAGCUAUUUAGGUAGCGCCUCGUGAACUCAUCUCCGGGGGUAGAGCACUGUUUCGGCUAGGGGGUCAUCCCGACUUACCAACCCGAUGCAACUGCGAAUACCGGAGAAUGUUAUCACGGGAGACACACGGCGGGUGCUACGUUCGUCGUGAAGAGGGAAACAACCCAGACCGCCGCUAAGGUCCCAAAGUCAUAAUUAAGUGGGAAACGAAGUGGGAAGGCUCAGACAGCCAGGAUGUUGGCUUAGAAGCAGCCAUCAUUUAAAGAAAGCGUAAUAGCUCACUGGUCGAGUCGGCCUGCGGGAAGAUGUAACGGGGCUAAUUAUGCACCGAAGCCGCGGCAGCGAUAUGUAAAUAUUGUUGGGUAGGGGAGCGUUCUGUAAGCCUGUGAAGGUGUGCUGUGAGGCAUGCUGGAGGUAUCAGAAGUGCGAAUGCUGACAUAAGUAACGAUAAUGCGGGUGAAAAACCCGCACGCCGGAAGACCAAGGUUCCUGUCCAACGUUAAUCGGGGCAGGGUGAGUCGACCCCUAAGGCGAGGCUGAAAAGCGUAGUCGAUGGGCAACGGUUAAUAUUCCCGUACUGGUGGUAACUGCGAAGGGGGGACGGAGAAAGCUAAAUCAUCCGGGCGACGGUUGUCCCGGUUUAAGCGUGCAGGUGGACUGACCAGGCAAAUCCGGUCGGUUGUUAACACUGAGGCGUGACGACGAGCCACUACGGUGGUGAAGUGAUUGAUGCUCUGCUUCCGGGAAAAGCCUCUAAGCUCCAGGUUACCAUUAAUCGUACCCCAAACCGACACAGGUGGUCAGGUAGAGAAUACUCAGGCGCUUGAGAGAACUCGGGUGAAGGAACUAGCAAAAUGGUGCCGUAACUUCGGGAGAAGGCACGCUGGCAUUAGGUGAAGUGGUUUACCCACGGAGCUGAAGCCAGCCGCAGAUACCAGCUGGCUGCAACUGUUUAUUAAAAACACAGCACUGUGCAAACACGAAAGUGGACGUAUACGGUGUGACGCCUGCCCGGUGCCGGAAGGUUAAUUGAUGAGGUUAGCGUAAGCGAAGCUUCUGAUCGAAGCCCCGGUAAACGGCGGCCGUAACUAUAACGGUCCUAAGGUAGCGAAAUUCCUUGUCGGGUAAGUUCCGACCUGCACGAAUGGCGUAAUGAUGGCCAGGCUGUCUCCACCCGAGACUCAGUGAAAUUGAACUCGCUGUGAAGAUGCAGUGUACCCGCGGCAAGACGGAAAGACCCCGUGAACCUUUACUAUAGCUUGACACUGAACAUUGAGCCUUGAUGUGUAGGAUAGGUGGGAGGCAAUGAAGUGUGGACGCCAGUCUGCACGGAGCCAUCCUUGAAAUACCACCCUUUAACGUUUGAUGUUCUAACCCGGGUCCAUAAUCUGGAUCGGGGACCGUGUCUGGUGGGUAGUUUGACUGGGGCGGUCUCCUCCCAAAGAGUAACGGAGGAGCACGAAGGUUGGCUAAGCAUGGUCGGACAUCAUGCGGUUAGUGCAAAGGCAUAAGCCAGCUUGACUGCGAGAGUGACGGCUCGAGCAGGUACGAAAGUAGGUCUUAGUGAUCCGGUGGUUCUGAAUGGAAGGGCCAUCGCUCAACGGAUAAAAGGUACUCCGGGGAUAACAGGCUGAUACCGCCCAAGAGUUCAUAUCGACGGCGGUGUUUGGCACCUCGAUGUCGGCUCAUCACAUCCUGGGGCUGAAGUAGGUCCCAAGGGUAUGGCUGUUCGCCAUUUAAAGUGGUACGCGAGCUGGGUUUAGAACGUCGUGAGACAGUUCGGUCCCUAUCUGCCGUGGGCGCUGGAAGAUUGAGAGGGGUUGCUCCUAGUACGAGAGGACCGGAGUGAACGCACCACUGGUGUACGGGUUGUGAUGCCAAUUGCAUUGCCCGGUAGCUAAGUGCGGAAGAGAUAACCGCUGAAAGCAUCUAAGCGGGAAACUUGCCUCGAGAUGAGUCUUCCCUGACCCUUUAAGGGUCCUGAAGGAACGUUUGAGACUAAGACGUUGAUAGGCUGGGUGUGUAAGCGCAGCGAUGCGUUGAGCUGACCAGUACUAAUGAACCGUGAGGCUUAACCUG
rnacentral:rRNA from 1 species